rnacentral:rRNA from 1 species
AUUGAACGCUGGCGGCAUGCCUUACACAUGCAAGUCGAACGGCAGCACGGGUGCUUGUUGCUGGUGGCGAGUGGCGAAGGGGUGAGUAAUAGGUAUGAACAUGUAUCGACGUGGGCGUUAGGCAGGAGAAAGGGGGAUUAAUGCUGCUACCGUAUUCCGGCUACAAGUGGAAGAAGUUGAGGUUCGGAGCUUUAGCGAUGGCAGAUGGCUGAUUAGCUAGUUGGUGGGGUAAAGGCCUACCAAGGCGACGAUCAGUAGCUGGUCUGAGAGGACGACCAGCCACACUGGAACUGAGACACGGCCCAGACUCCUACGGGAGGCAGCAGUGGGGAAUUUUGGACAAUGGGCGAAAGCCUGAUCCAGCAAUGCCGCGUGUGUGAAGAAGGCCUUCGGGUUGUAAAGCACUUUUGUCCGGAAAGAAAACCAUCACCCUAAUACGGUCGUGUUAUGACGGUACCGAAAGAAUAAGCACCGGCUAACUACGUG